UAACACCUGGAAACAGAUGCUAAUACCGGAUAACAACAGAUGAUGCCUAUCAACUGUUUAAAAGAUGGUUCUGCUAUCACUCUUGGAUGGACCUGCGGUGCAUUAGCUAGUUGGUAGGGUAACGGCCUACCAAGGCGAUGAUGCAUAGCCGAGUUGAGAGACUGAUCGGCCACAUUGGGACUGAGACACGGCCCAAACUCCUACGGGAGGCAGCAGC
rnacentral:rRNA from 1 species